ACUAUUGGUCUUAAAGAUAAGAUAACCAUCUACAAGUCCAUACAGAUGUAAAUACCAUGGGAAAAUGCUGAAUUACUUGUGCUACAAAAGGGUGUAAUUAACUCUCUGGGUAAUGUGAGGAAACUGCAAAAAAGCAGAGAAUCACAUCUCUUAGGGAUAAAGUGUCAUUUUGAAAGUAAGAGCUACUGGAAUUAGUGGUACCAAAGGGCUACAAUGUACCUUGCCCUUGGACAUGGCCAGCCACAGCUGCAGAUGCCAUGAUGCCCUGCUUUCUGAUAUACAGGGGAGAGAAAGCAAGCAUGGAGAGGAGGAGGAGAGAGAAAAACUCAAAAAGACCCCCCAGUGAGUGCGGAGACCUAUGCAGGACUCAAUCUCAGGACUCUGAGAUCAGACCAGACCUGAAACCAAGAAUCAGAUGCUUAACCUACUGAGCCACCCAGUUCCAUCAAAAUCAAUGUUUCAAUCAAGGUGGACACCGUGUAUGGAUACUGGCUGAUUAGGUACUUAAUGAACACUGCACAGGCCCUCUCGGACAUUUGAUCUCUUGAUAUUACCCAGAAAACUUCAACUGCCUCCUCUAC